rnacentral:lncRNA from 1 species
GUUGCUGGGAUUUGAACUCAGGAGCUUCUGAAGAGCAGUCAGUGCUCUUACAGGCUGAGCCAUCUCUCCAGCCCCCAGGACACAAUUCUUAUAGUGUGUCCCCAUCAGCUAAGGGCCAGAGUGACAGCAAUAUUAUAAAUGUCUUAGUGGUUAAAGUGAAAUGUGCCACUUCAGAGUGGUCACCCUAUUCUGAUCAGCAACCCCAUAGCAUGGAAGCUGACACACUCCUUCCUUUUAAAGAUUUCAUUGUGUGCUUAAUUACAAAUGCGUGUCUAUUCGUGGGUAUAUACAUGUUUGUGCAGGUGCUUCAGAGGCCAGAAGAGAACAUCAGAUCUCCUGGAGCUUGAGACAUAGGGAGUUGUGAGCCACCCGAUGUGGGUGCUUGGAACCAAAUUUAGGUCCUCUGUAGAGCAGAUAAUCCGUGCUUCUAACAGCUGAGUCACCGCUCCAGUCCUGAUGUGGUUAGUUUGAAGAAGCUGUCCAAGCAUUCCAGGGUCACGGUGCAUCAGUACAAGGUGCAAACCAUGGAACAAGGCACGCUUAGAACUGAUGUGCCUUCCAGGAUAGGUAGGAGUUCCAGACAAUAGCAACACACUGGACAACAGCCAACCUAAGGGACAAGAAUGCUACUGUGAAGAAGAGAAGGAGCAGGGUAGGGAGAGCAAUGGAAAGGACUUACGCAGGAAGUUCCAGGUUUGGGCUGUGUUCCUCUGAGCCCCAUGAGUAGGGACUGCAGCUUCAGACCAGGAGACAACCAGUUCAGUCCUGCUCUAUCUCAGAGCUCCGCCUGUCAGAUGAAGGCCUCACAGCUCACUCCUUUUCCUUAUUAAUUUUGUCUAUGUGUGUAUGUAUGCACAUGAAAGUCAGAGGACGACUCUGGGGAGCCGGAUCUCUCCUUCUACCAUGUGGGUUCCAAGGCAUGGGCUCAGGGCAUCAGGUCUGGCAGCAAGGGCUCUCACCCACUGAGUCAUAUCACCCAUCCAGCAGCUCUCUUUCAAUAAAUGACUCGUCUACCUAGACCUUUCCAAAUAUAUCUGUAUACCUUAUAUCACCCAAGAUUUCACUUCUAAAAAUAAUGCCCUGCCUGCUGUCAUCCAUUCACAUCUAUCUAUCUAUCUAUCUAUCUAUCUAUCUAUCUAUCUAUCUAUCUAUCUAUCUAUCUAUCUAUCUAUCUAUCUAUCUAUCUAUCUGGAGGGAGAGAGAACACUUAUAGUCACUAGAUCACCAAAGACAGUCUUGAACUCUUGAACACCUGAUCCUCCCACUUUUGACUCUUUGGUGUCAGGAUAAAAAGUAUGCACUCUCAUAUCUGGCCUUUCCAGAAGAUCUAACCCUGGUUCCCAGCACCCAUACCUGGCAGAUCACAAUGGUUUGUAACUCUAGUUCCAAGGAACCUGAUGCUGUCUUUUUGUGUCUGUACCCCU